rfam:Schistosoma haematobium scaffold1399_20, whole genome shotgun sequence.
AUCCAACUGACAAGUCCCAAAUAGGACGAAACGCACGUCGUGGAU